CACUGACCAGCUGCCUUGGAGCAGCUCUCCCACUUCUACCACUGACCAGCUGCCUUGGAGCAGCUCUCCCACUUCUACCACUGACCAGGUGCCUUGGAGCAGCUCUCCCACUUCUACCACUGACCAGCUGCCUUGGAGCAGCUCUCCCACUUCUACCACUGACCAGCUGCCUUGGAGCAGCUCUCCACUAGUCAAGCUUCUGUUUUUUUCAGGUCCUUCCUGAGUUGUUUGAUGUGACUGCUGACUCGUCCAGGGACCAGGGACCUAUAGCAAACGCUUCCCGAACUCGGUCCUGGGGACCCCGAGGAACACUUAAAGCAGCGAAGUGACGCUUGCACAAGCUUCCUAACAGAAAAGCUGAUGAAUCCUAGAUGUACUGGUCGCUGAAGAUUCUCUUCAAACUCUAACAGCACCGUAGGGCUUUCUACUCCAGCCUCUCUAUUCUUACUGCUCGUUCACUUCAACCACAGCGCCCCACAACCUUUGGGAUGUCCCAAGGAUCCAAAGGUAGUCACUUCCCUCUUAAACUCCUCCAACGGUACUCCAUCGGACUCAACUCCUUGUGAGAAAGACUCGACUCCUUAUGAGAAGACUCGACUCCUUGUGAGAACGACUCGACUCCUUGUGAGAACGACUCGACUCCUUGUGAGAACGACUCAACUCCUUGCGAGAACGACUCAACCCCUUGUGAGAACGACUCAACUCCUCGGGAGAACGACUCAACUCCUUGUGAGAACGACUCAACUCCUUGCGAGAACGACUCAACUCCUUGGGAGAACGACUCAACUCCUUGUGAGAAUGACUCAUCUCCUUGUGAGAACGACUCAACUCCCUGUGAGAACGACUCAUCUCCUUGUGAGUAUGACUCAAAUCUAACUGAGACUGAGAGCAUCCUAAUAUGGACACCGUACUCUGUAGUACAGUGCUUCACACCUCUAAGCGGGCAGCUUGCUGCUAUCAAAUAAAUAAGCCAGACACCAAAUAGACAAGAACAAACACACAGCAAGAUAUCAUCAUCUAAACAAACUGACACAUCUGUAGUGUUGUCUGGCUCACACCGCAAGGUCAGGGGUGACAAAGGGGUCAAAGGUAGUUUUGGGUUCAUGUGCAGCUGUCAGCGUGAUUAGUGCUAUCUGAGAUCCAAAAAGUCCCUACCCUUAGCCUAACCUUAACCCUUACUUUAACUGUUUUAAAAGUCAACCUUUGGGAUGUCCCAAGGAUCCCAGAUAGCAAGCAGCCUCUUCACUGAUCAAAAGACCAAAGACAAAGAGAAGAUAAUUAUUCCUUCUUCUUCUUCUUGACAAUUAACUGGAUGAGGUUGUGUCAACACAAGUUGGACACAUAGUUGGACUACCAUAGAGUUAGGAUCAUAGAGUUAGGAUCAUCCUGUUAUACUAUAGAGUUAGGAUCAUCCUGUUAUACUAUAGAGUUAGGAUCAUAGAGUUAGGAUCAUCCUGUUAUACCAUAG
ensembl:lncRNA